GAAAUGCGAUAAGUAAUGUGAAUUGCAGAAUUCAGUGAAUCAUCGAAUCUUUGAACGCACAUUGCGCCCGCCAGUAUUCUGGCGGGCAUGUCUGUUCGAGCGUCAUUUCAACCAUCAAGCCCCGCGCUUGUGUUGGGGACCUGCGGCUGCCGCAGGCCCUGAAAACCAGUGGCGGGCUCGCUGUCACACCGGGCGUAGUAGAUUUUAUCUCGCUCAGGGCGUGCUGCGGGUUCCGGCCGUUAAAAAGCCUUUUUUACCCAAGGUUGACCUCGGAUCAGGUAGGAAGACCCGCUGAACUUAAGC
rnacentral:misc_RNA from 1 species